CCCUUUCAUCUGCGGCUGUAGCCCCGCCCCCGCUGCUGUUGACGUUUGCGGAAGGAAGCGCCCAGCUUGGGGCAGUGACGUCGGGGCGCGGCGGGGCCCGGCCCGGCCCGAGGCCGGCAGCAUGUGGGGGGCGGCCGAUGCGGAAAUGCUUCAAAGAGCAUCAGAAGAAUUCUCUCCAAAGAUGGAGAUUCCUGAGGAGGAGAUGGAUACAACUGAUACCCAAUGGGGCUGGUUUUACUUGGCUGAAUGUGGCAAAUGGCAUAUGUUUCAGACUGAUUCAAACACUCAGUGUUCAGUUAGCAGUGAAGACAUUGAAAGGAGCUUCAAAAUGAAUCCAGAAGGCUCUGUUUCUUUUACUACUGCAAAAUUUAACUACAAGUUAGACUUUUCAGUGAUGAAACAAACCAAUCUGACUACUGGAAAACAGCGUCCAAUAAAGCGAGCUCCCUUUUCCAUCAGUGCUUUCAGUUAUAUCUGUGAAAAUGAGGCUAUCCCAAUGCCUUCACACUGGGAGAACGUAAAUACAGAGGAACCAUAUCAGCUUAUUCCUUUGCAAAAACAAACAAAUGAAUAUAAUGAAGUUUCUAGUCUCUUUGGGAAAACAAUGGAUAGCAACCGAAUUAAAAGAAUUCAGAGAAUUCAAAAUCUAGACUUGUGGGAGUUUUUUUGCAGGAAAAAAGCUCAACUAAAGAAGAGAAGAGGUGUCCCUACCAUUAAUGAACACAUGUUAUUUCAUGGUACCAGCAGUGAAUUUGUAGAAGCAAUAUGCAUUCAUAACUUUGACUGGAGAAUAAAUGGUAUGCAUGCUGCAGUGUAUGGAAAAGGGACCUAUUUUGCAAGAGAUGCAUCGUAUUCCAGUCGUUUCUGCAAAGACGAUAUGAAGCAUGGAGACACUUUUCAAAUCCAUGGUGUCAAUCUGCAACAUCAUGUGUUCAGAACAUAUAAAGUUAUGUUUCUUGCUCGUGUUUUAACUGGAGACUAUAUCAUUGGAGAUUCCAAAUACAUGAGGCCUCCUUCAAAAGAUGGGAGCUUUGUGAACUUAUUCGACAGCUGCGUGGAUAGUACUUGGAAUCCAAAGAUCUUUGUUAUCUUUGAUACCAACCAAAUCUACCCUGAAUAUUUAAUAGAGUUCUGCUAAGUUUUACAAGGAGCCAAACUGAAUAUUGGGUUGGUUGUGAUGGAUGGUCAAUAUGUCUUUGCGAAGGAAAUAUAACUUACAAAAUUUUUAAAUACAUGGUGGUGAACAGAGAUGGAGAUGUGAAGGAAAAUCUGGCUUACAUCUGUAAAAUCCUUUUGGCUUAAGAUGCAGAGUAUGGACUGUUUUUGCCAGGUAGAAUCUCACUGGGGAGGAGAAGAGGGACCAGAAGAAAGAUCAGAGAGACCCAAACUCCUGAAGAAGGGGGACUAAGUAGUGGCUCCAGAUUGAGUUUUGACAUAGAAGAAAGUUUAGUGAAAGAAACGUGACCCAAAGCAACAAAUGUGUGGAAAGGACUGAGGGAAAGACUCAGAAGAAAAACUGAAGAAACAAAGCUUUGAAUGGUGGAUGUAAAAUUAAAGUAAAGAUAGUGGUGGGGCAUGUAAAGGGAAAAAAGUGUCUCCAAACCCACCUUCUGUGCAGGUUUCCUGAAUGCUCAGCUCCUACCCAGUAAGCUCUACUGAAGAUGGAGCACUGCACUGAGAACCAGAAAGCUUAAUGUGACCCCUCUGUGUCACGUAAAGGGCUCAGAGUAGUGUAAAGAGACUCUAAAAGCCUUUGAUCUGAUCAGGAGAGAGUUCUCCCAGGCCAGGAACUGAGGAAGACAGUGAUAGACCUUGCAAGCCCUACUGUAAGAGGUGUGUUGGGGACAGGUGUGUUCUGUAGCUUCUGCGCAGCACUGGUGUCCCUAGGCAGCUAGGGUUAGGCUGCCAUAACUUAGUGUGUGUGCGCGCGCACACACAAUCUCUCUCUCUCUCUCUGUGCCUGAACGCCAUCUUAUCCCUACUCGCUCUGGGGUGUGAGUUCUAUGCUGGGCAACAUGCCUGUGACAAAAUUCCAAUAUCCAUUUUAUCACCUUGUCAUAAUUGACCAAUCAACGCUGCUGAGAAAAGUUCUGCUUUAUGUUCUGGAAGUCAGAGCAAUUAUGAUGAUACUGUUCGAGAUGUUUCUGCUUUCAGAUGGGCCAGUUCUGCUUACCUGUGAAUGACACUGGAGGAAAUAUUGUUCGGAGUUUAAACAUUUAGCUUCUGUGGUUGUACAGUGCAAGGGGCUAGACUGGUCCUUAGGCACGCAUGUAAUAAACAUAAUUAAUAACAGACCCAACUAUAAUGAACUUCCUCCAUCUGUUUUGAAAAAGUCUCUAUCCAACAAGUUUGUAAGAUUGUCUGUUUCCCUCUGACCUGUAAGCCCUGUAACAAAUACACUGCAUUGUAGAGAAAAUCUCCCUGAAAUACCUUAUAGCACUUCACAUUUAAAGGUCUCAAACCACUUUACAAACAUUGCCUACAACCUUGCUAAAGGUCCUAUGAGGUAGGCAAGUACUAGAGCAGUGGUUCUCAAACUGUUGUACUGGUGACCUCUUUCACACAGCAAGCCUCUGUGUGCGACCCCCUACCCCAUAAAUUAAAAACAGUUUUUUACAUAUUUAACAUCAUUAUAAAUGCUGGAGGCAAACUAGGGUUUGGGGUGGAGGCUGACAGCUCGUGACCCCCUCAUCUAAUAACCUUGUGACCCCUGAGGGGUCCCAACCCCCAGUUUGAGGACCCCGAUACAAGAGAGAGAGAACCUUCGCCUAUCUCUGCAAUGCUGCCAUUUCUGGAAUAGUAUACAGCACCUAUAUAACUAUGCAUAGCAGUACUUUACAGCAGACUGACUGGAUGUAGGCAAAAAUGCUGUUUUCAAUACACACUUCAGGGGGAAUGUAGACAGGUGAUAUGUAAUUAGGUGAAUUGAAUUUUGUCCAAGACACCUUUUUUCUUACAAAAAGUUUUCCAAGAUCCUUAUUUACAAUAUAUUGGCAAGACCUCGGGUUUAUGUCUUAUCAAAAGGACAGCAGCACAUAGUGUGAUAAUAUGAAGUUGGGGUUCAGUACAGGCAGGGCCGUCCCUAGCAAUUCUGGGGUCCUAUGCAGCCCGGGUAGGUCUCUGCGGGGGGAGUGGGCCCCAGGUCUCUACGGGGGGCAGCGUUGGCUUGGGGGGCAGGGGGGAACCACCCCCUCAGCACUCACCGGGGGAACCACCGCCUAGCACUUCCUGCCACUGAUGAGUGCAGGCCCGGCCCUGCUGCAGAGCUCAGGGGAGUGGGGGCGGGAAGGGGCAGAGCGGGGCGGGGGCACUAGGGAAGAGCCGGAGCAGGGGCUGGAGCAGCACGCAGCUGUGCAGGGCACCUGGUGCCCUACACAGCUGCAUACUUUGCAUAUGAGUACUGAGUAGAGGCUUUGAGGGAAGAGUACCACUUAGUGAAUGACUGAUACUGCCUCCUGUAGCUAGGUUUUCCUAGAAUCCAUUCUAUCCAAAUGCUAAUCCAGUUUACUUUGAUAAAUCUGAAGGGGUAUCGUUGCAAGAUGGGAUAUGAAUAAGAAAAUGUACAUAAACUUUUCCAGCUCCCAGUGGGAGUCUUUUUAUUAACUUCAGAGGGAGUCUGAUUGGGCCCAAAGAGACGGGUAUCAGAGCAGCAUGGGAGAAAUGAGUAACAAACUAAGCGACAUACAAAGAGAACAUUCAGCUUUUUUUAGUAUUAAGAGGGAAUAAAUAAACUACAGUAGAUCCGAUGUUUAAUGUCAUUUUGCUUUGAAAAACUCACGUGGGCGCAAGCAGUGUUUUCGAGCACCCAGAAGUGUAAAUGCAUGUUGAACAACUUUGGGGCACUGAGCAUUAGAUGGUGAGAGACAAAAGGCCAUAGCUUCAGGAAGGGACUCAAGAUAAAGCACACUUUAAAGGUCUUGAUUUUUAAGCUGUUGAUUUGCACAAACUUACACUGUAUGUUAAUCCAUGUUCUUUAUGAUUCUGAAAAGAAGUGCCAGUUUAUGCAGUAGUCCUAAUUAACUGCACAAUCUUGUACCAUUUUAACUAAUUACAAUAGAAGGUUCUUUUUAAAAAAAAUAACACUUUCUAAUCCAAAUCAGUGUAUUGAAUCUUUUUCAUGAUUAUUUAUUUUUUGUACAUUAAAGACUGAUUGAUUUUAA